rnacentral:rRNA from 1 species
UACGAAGGGGGCUAGCGUUGCUCGGAAUCACUGGGCGUAAAGGGUGCGUAGGCGGGUCUUUAAGUCAGGGGUGAAAUCCUGGAGCUCAACUCCAGAACUGCCUUUGAUACUGAAGAUCUUGAGUUCGGGAGAGGUGAGUGGAACUGCGAGUGUAGAGGUGAAAUUCGUAGAUAUUCGCAAGAACACCAGUGGCGAAGGCGGCUCACUGGCCCGAUACUGACGCUGAGGCGCGAAAGCCAGGGGAGCGAACGGG